rnacentral:rRNA from 1 species
UACGAGGGGGGCGAGCGUUGUUCGGAAUUAUUGGGCGUAAAGGGUGCGUAGGCGGUUUGGUAAGUCUGAUGUGAAAUCUAUGGGCUCAACUCAUAGUCUGCAUCGGAAACUGCCGGGCUUGAGUAUGGGGAGAGGUGAGUGGAAUUCCUGGUGUAGCGGUGAAAUGCGUAGAUAUCAGGAGGAACACCUGUGGCGAAAGCGGCUCACUGGACCAUAACUGACGCUGAUGCACGAAAGCUAGGGGAGCAAACAGG